AUUCCUACGGGAGGCAGCAGUGAGGAAUAUUGGUCAAUGGGCGCAAGCCUGAACCAGCCGUGCCGCGUGCAGGAAGACGGCCCUAUGGGUUGUAAACUGCUUUUGCACGGGAAGAAUGGCCCCCUCGUGAGGGGGUUUGACGGUACCGUACGAAUAAGGAUCGGCUAACUCCGUGCCAGCAGCCGCGGUAAUACGGAGGAUUCAAGCGUUAUCCGGAUUUACUGGGUUUAAAGGGUGCGUAGGCGGGCGCUUAAGUCAGCGGUGAAAGGCAGCGGCUCAACCGUUGAAUUGCCGUUGAAACUGGGCGCCUUGGAUUCGGUCGAGGCCGGCGGAAUGCGUGGUGUAGCGGUGAAAUGCUUAGAUAUCACGCGGAACGCCGAUUGCGAAGGCAGCUGGCCAGACCGAGAUCGACGCUGAGGCACGAAAGCGUGGGGAUCAAACAGGAUUAGAUACCCUGGUAGUCCACGCCGUAAACGAUGAUCACUGGAUGCCGGCGAUACACCGUCGGUGUCUGAGCGAAAGCAUUAAGUGAUCCACCUGGGGAGUACGAUCGCAAGGUUGAAACUCAAAUGAAUUGACGGAAU
rnacentral:rRNA from 1 species